rnacentral:piRNA from 1 species
UGCACUAGUUUGUUCAUCUUGCAUGGCAGU